AUAAUCAAUAAAGGCAGAUCCUCCACUUUGACCAUCAUGAGGUUAGUCAGGAGACUAGUGUGGUUGGCAGCCACUCUACACUUUCAACUCACAUGCGAGCACAUACCGGGCCACCACAACACCGCAGCUGAUGCCCUGUCUCGCUCUAACUUUCAGGUGUUCCGUCAAGAACAUCCCACGGCCGAGACAAACCCAUACAACCCUCCAUUGUUCCAGGACCUCAUCCUGGACUAAAUGCACUUCUGGCUCACGGCAGACUACUAGCACAGUCAGCACUCUCAGCAAACACCAGGCGGUCCAAUUUUCAACAGGUUCGUCACAGAAUAAACCCAUGGUCAUUACAUACCAUGGUGGCAUUUACACCUAAAACUGACACAUAAUACAAUAAAAUUAUACCUCACGGGUAUACAACAUCACCUCACAAACACAUAUCCCAGUCACAGAACUUUUAUGUCCACUAAUCCAAUUAGAAACGUUUUAAAAGGUAUCUUACGACUCGAAGUACAAAAACCCACUAAACGUCAAUCAAUAGACGCAAUGCAUUAACCGAUACAUUGGAUACACUGCCAUUUGAAAACAAAACGAACAAUACAUUAAAAAUGGCUAUUUAUCUAGC